rnacentral:snRNA from 1 species
AAAGUUAGUCAUGAACCAAACAGACCCGAAAUGUAGUAUCUGUUCUUAUCAGUUUAAUAUCUGAUACAUGGAUCUUCGGAUCCGUGAGAUAUUAAUUUAAUUUUUUGUGGGGAGGGCUCAUCGGAGCCCUCGAGUGUCGUCUUGGCAUUGCACUAAAGCCUUGGCUGCUGACGCACCCCAA